rnacentral:lncRNA from 1 species
AGCUUUUGUUGAGCAAAAUCUAAAACUUACACCCAAACCAAUCUUCAAACUCAUGUCAUUCCUCAACUCAAUGCCAAAAGAGCUGAUAAACACCUCCUGCUACUAUUCUGCUUCAUCAGAAUUUCACGAUGAUUUUCAACUCAGAUUACAAGAGAUAUAUCAAGUCAACCCUCACGGAAAGGUAAAUUAGUUAGAAAAUAUUGAGUGGCAUAGAUCUUAAUCUAAUAAAACAUAUGAACUACAAUGCACGAAAAUAAUAAGCCACUUUCAAAACUUUUUUUCUACAUACUCAUUUUCAACCACACAUGCACAAAAUAAAAUAUUCUACAUGUAAAUCCAAAACUUU